UACGUAGGGGGCAAGCGUUGUCCGGAUUUAUUGGGCGUAAAGAGCGUGUAGGCGGCCUUACAGGUCAGCUGUGAAAACUCGAGGCUCAACCUCGAGACGUCGGUUGAAACCGUAAGGCUAGAGUCCGGAAGAGGAGAGUGGAAUUCCCGGUGUAGCGGUGAAAUGCGCAGAUAUCGGGAAGAACACCUAUGGCGAAGGCAGCUCUCUGGGACGGUACUGACGCUGAGACGCGAAAGCGUGGGGAGCGAACAGG
rnacentral:rRNA from 1 species